UACGUAGGGUGCAAGCGUUAAUCGGAAUUACUGGGCGUAAAGCGUGCGCAGGCGGUUUUGUAAGUCUGUCGUGAAAUCCCCGGGCUCAACCUGGGAAUUGCGAUGGAGACUGCAAGGCUAGAAUCUGGCAGAGGGGGGUAGAAUUCCACGUGUAGCAGUGAAAUGCGUAGAGAUGUGGAGGAAUACCGAUGGCGAAGGCAGCCCCCUGGGACAUGACUGACGCUCAUGCACGAAAGCGUGGGGAGCAAACAGG
rnacentral:rRNA from 1 species